AUACGUAGGGUGCAAGCGUUAAUCGGAAUUACUGGGCGUAAAGCGUGCGCAGGCGGUUUUGUAAGGCAGUGGUGAAAUCCCCGGGCUCAACCUGGGAACUGCCAUUGUGACUGCAAGGCUGGAGUGCGGCAGAGGGGGAUGGAAUUCCGCGUGUAGCAGUGAAAUGCGUAGAUAUGCGGAGGAACACCGAUGGCGAAGGCAAUCCCCUGGGCCUGCACUGACGCUCAUGCACGAAAGCGUGGGGAGCAAACAGGAUUAGAUACCCUGGUAGUCCACGCCCUAAACGAUGUCAACUGGUUGUUGGGGAUUUAUUUUCUCAGUAACGAAGCUAACGCGUGAAGUUGACCGCCUGGGGAGUACGGCCGCAAGGUUAAAACUCAAAGGAAUUGACGGGG
rnacentral:rRNA from 1 species